rnacentral:rRNA from 1 species
GAGUUUGAUCUUGGCUCAGGACGAACGCUGGCGGCGUGCUUAACACAUGCAAGUCGAACGAUGAAGCCCUUCGGGGUGGAUUAGUGGCGAACGGGUGAGUAACACGUGGGCAAUCUGCCCUGCACUCUGGGACAAGCCCUGGAAACGGGGUCUAAUACCGGAUACUGAUCGCCUUGGGCAUCCUUGGUGAUCGAAAGCUCCGGCGGUGCAGGAUGAGCCCGCGGCCUAUCAGCUUGUUGGUGAGGUAAUGGCUCACCAAGGCGACGACGGGUAGCCGGCCUGAGAGGGCGACCGGCCACACUGGGACUGAGACACGGCCCAGACUCCUACGGGAGGCAGCAGUGGGGAAUAUUGCACAAUGGGCGAAAGCCUGAUGCAGCGACGCCGCGUGAGGGAUGAC